GUUCCGUUCGCGAGUUUGUGUCUCCAGAUAAAAAAUACCUUUCAUUUUGUUUAAUUGAAUUUUAUAUCACAUUCAAUAGUUCAAAAUAUCACAGGUAUACACAUAAUGAAAUACGGAGGGGCUUAUAUAAGAGACAUGUCGAACAACUGGGUAUUGCGUUUUAGUAAUGAAAAUAUUGCAUUAAAAACAGACAUGUAUUUGGCAAUUUUGUGAUUUUGCAUGAUUGCCUUUUAUAACAAUAACUAUAAAAAUAUAUUUACAUGUACAUAUUGAAAAAUAAAAGUGUAAAAGUGUGUACACAAUCGAAGGCAAACGAGAUGUCAACUUGGCUUCAGAAAAGGAAUGCAAAAUCUCAGUUAUUGUCGGACAAAGAAAACGAGGAUAUUUUCAAAACUCUGGGUCGGAGAUGUACGAGUUUGUCGACCGCUGUAGUUCAGCUGUACCUUGGUGAUACGAUAUACGGAAAGAAAUGGAACAAGCGUUGCUGUGGCGUGGUGUGCUUUGUGAAAGACUGUGCUCAACGAUCAUACUUCAUCAGGCUCUUUGACCCAAAGGUUUCACGGAACAAGUGUAUAAUUAUUUCUAGUAGUGUGUAGCUGAUAAAAAACGUAUCACUGCCACAAUGGUAAAACAAGGCCAAAGUUAUCUUACAUAAAAUUUGCCUUAGAGUCAGGUGACAAGUCCACAUAACAGCUUUCAAAUGCGACAUUCUAUAAAGUCAUAGGAAAUGACACAGUUAUGAUGAUGCUUCUCAUUUUUACCAGCUGUUGCUUAUUUUCAAAAAUAUUGUUUUAUCUGAUACAUUAAUAUUUCCACG